AUUGAACGCUGGCGGCAUGCCUUACACAUGCAAGUCGAACGGUAACAGGUUAAGCUGACGAGUGGCGAACGGGUGAGUAAUACAUCGGAACGUGCCCAGUAGUGGGGGAUAGCCCGGCGAAAGCCGGAUUAAUACCGCAUACGACCUAAGGGUGAAAGGGGGGGAUCGCAAGACCUCUCGCUAUUGGAGCGGCCGAUGUCAGAUUAGGUAGUUGGUGGGGUAAAGGCUCACCAAGCCGACGAUCUGUAGCUGGUCUGAGAGGACGACCAGCCACACUGGGACUGAGACACGGCCCAGACUCGUACGGGAGGCAGCAGUGGGGAAUUCUGGACAAUGGGCGCAAGCCUGAUCCAGCCAUGCCGCGUGCGGGAAGAAGGCCUUCGGGUUGUAAACCGCUUUUGUCAGGGAAGAAAUCCUUUGGGUUAAUACCUCGGGGGGAUGACGGUACCUGAAGAAUAAGCACCGGCUAACUACGUGCCAGCCGCCGCCGUAA
rnacentral:rRNA from 1 species